rnacentral:tRNA from 1 species
UAGAAUAUGGUGUACAUGGUAGCACGAAGAUUUUUGAGUUCUUAAGAUUAGGUUCGAGUCCUAUAAUUCUAG